rnacentral:rRNA from 1 species
ACGUAGGGGGCAAGCGUUAUCCGGAAUUAUUGGGCGUAAAGAGUGCGUAGGCGGUUUUUUAAGCGUGAGGUGAAAGGCAAUAGCUUAACUUUUGUAAGCCUUGCGGACUGGAAGGCUAGAGUGCAGGAGAGGAAGGUGGAAUUCCUAGUGUAGCAGUGAAAUGCGUAGAUAUGCGGAGGAACACCAGUGGCGAAGGCGAUCACCUGGGCUUGAACUGACGCUCAGGCACGAAAGCGUGGGGAGCAAACAG